CUCGGGUCCCCUUACACAUUGUGGAAGCUUUGUUCUUUCACUCUUUGCUUUAAAUCUUGCUGCUGCUCACUCACUCUUUGGGUCCACACUGCUUUUAUGAGCUGUAACACUCACUGCAAAAGUCUGCAGCUUCACUCUUGAAGCCAGUGAGACCAGGAGCCCACCAGGGAGAAAGAGCAACUCCAGAUGCGCUGCCUUAAGAGCUGUAACACUCACCGCAAUGGUCUGCAGCUUCACUCCUGAGCCAGCGAGACCCCGAACCCACCAGAAGGAAGAAACUCCGAACACAUCCAAAUAUCAGAAGGAACAAACUCCAGACGCGCCACCUUAAGAGCUGUAACAUUCACCGCGAGGGUCCGCGGCUUCAUUCUUGAAGUCAGUGAGACCAAGAACGCACCAAUUCUGGACACACCAUCAGCAGUGUUGAGACUUUCUUGCAAAAAUGCCUGUUUGGGAUUCCUCAGAGUACAGACAAAAAGGAAGGCUUGAUCAGCAUGUGGUGGAUCUGAAGAUUCAAAGAGGUGCCACAGCUCAAAAGUAGACAUUUUGGCAAAUGUGAAGAAGUGAGAUUCAAUGAAGAUGAUAAGAAAUGAAAGGUGUUACCAAAAUUACACAAGUAUUUCUGUCAUUUUCCUACUAAAUUACAUGAAGGGGGUUGUCUGCUUAUGAGCUGCACCACCGAGCAGCAUGCCUAUCAGCGAGAAGGUGCCUGACAAUUCUCAGUUGAAAUGUCCUGACCAAGUUCCCCCAGAAAUUUAUGACUAAUAACAAAAGGGAAAAGCUACCCUCACAAGGAGAUGUCCAGUUGACACUAUCUCAACCAAAAUUAUUAAACAUAGCAUCAGCAAUCGUGGGACAAACAGACGCAAACAUCUCCUGGUGUGAGGCGGUGCAGAGGAAGGACUUGCUGACAUCUGUGAGGAAGAGAACAAUUGUGCAUGUCCAGAGACGCCAGUGCAGGAAAAGACCUAUCUGUGAAGGCGGUGUCCAGAGCAGACCCAGAUGUCACUGGGGGGUCCCUCCAGCAGGGUGGGGUCCAGCUCUUCUGACCCCAGCCCAGCCCCCUCCCCUGGACCCUGUAGGGUUGUUCAGCAAGAUUCAAAGCUGCAACCUGGGGGCCAGUAAACAGGGCAAUGCCAAGGCAGUGGGCAGGAGGGCUGGAGAGGGAUUUUAUCGACACUGAAGACCCGAGGACCUCAACUGUGGGAUGAGACCAGGUCCUUCAGGAGAACAAUCACAAGAGAGGGAAAGAGGAAAAGGACUAGAGCUAAAAAAGGAGCUCAUGAGUCAGAAAGAGGAUAAAAGACAGCCAGCAUAUAAGAGGAGAUCAAUUACCUGCUGGUGGCUGCCUGUAAUGGUGGAGUCUUCCAAUUCUGUGAAGCAAGCAUCAGAGUGUCCGGAGGAGCAGCGGUGAUGGGGUGGCCAUAAGAAGGAAAGGGGAGAGUUAGAGUCGAGAGAACCACUCAGACCCCGCUGUCCUGGGGCUGUGGAGCCAACCCCAGAGCCUCUGAUGUGCUCAUUUCUGGAGCCUUCUCCACAGCCUGUAUCAUUUCCUCUGUGCUAUGAGGGAGGGACCUCUGACUUCCCAUGUACUUUCCCAGCCCUCACAUUCCAUAACUGAGCCAAGGGAGGGGAAGCCGUGUCAUUCUGUUCCUCCAAGAGGCAGCGCCCUCUUCACAACGUUGUGCGUGACAUGGAGUUCCCUCCCUUCUCCUCCUGUAGGGCCUGUUUCUGUUCCCGCAUGAAUCCCAUUUCCUUUCACCCUGUGGACCUCCACCAGUCCUACUGUUCUCCAAAAUAAGAACACUGGAAAGAAGGUCAAGGCUGCACUGCCAGGGCCUCCAAUCAACCCACGGAUCGCACCCUGGGUCAGCAGCACCUCCCACAGGCCUGGGGUUGUGUUGGGGCCUGCGGGAGGUGAUGAUGGCCGAUGUCACUUAUACAGUGACUGUUCUAUGCCUGGAGUGACCUUAGAGACUUGGAAAAUAUUCAGCCCUCAAAAGAAUCCCAGCAGCUUCUGAAUAUUUGGAAACAAUGGAACAGAAUUCAAGGUAAAGCUCCUUGUCCCAGUUGCCUUAAUCUGCAAGUGAGGCCAGCAGUUGCCAGCACAGAAAUGAGGGGACCCUCCCAGGGUUUGCCUGAGCUGUGGGAAGACUAGGAGGGAAGGUACCUGGAAGACCUGACACAGAGAACAAUCUGGGCCUGACUGGAGUGUGGGGAGAAGGACAAGGCUGCUGAGCCAGAGAGGAGGGUGUGACAAGACAAGUGACUACUGUGCCAGCUGCCCAGAGGCUCUGCCCUGGGCCCAGUGGAUUCCAGGGACCAGGCUACAGGGAGGGUGAGAGCCACUGCCUACAGCAACACAGCAGCCCCUCCACACAUAUCCCUUAGGAUUCCUGCCAGCCACAGAGGGCCCUGAGCAACAGCUAGACUUGGGCCUCUCCAGUGAAAGCCAAUUUAGGUUUCAUUCAAAGCACAGGGAUUUGGGAUUGGAUGGGAUUGGGUGAGGAGUGGAGGCCAAAACUGUGCUCAAUCAUGUGUUCUGCCCUCAGGACUCCAGGAUGCUGGGGCACACGUAGGAAUCCCAGAGGAAGGAUUCCCUGUGUCAUCCGACCCAGGGAGCACCCUUAGAGCAGGAGCAGACAGUGAGGACAGGACAGGAAGGUGCUGUUGCAGGUCCCAAGAGUGUAGAGAAAGACAGUGGGCUCCUUUCACCUCCUGGCACACGUAUGAAGGACUUUGUCUUCAGGAUCACGUAGCGCCUAUGUGGGGCUGUGUCCCACCCCACACUCAACUUUACACCUGCAUACUCAUCUUGUGAUCUCUAUUCACAAAAAAAUGCUACCUCAUCAAAACCCAGGGCUCUGGUGCUUACUGUGGCAAAGGCAGGAAUGAUCUGGUCUUCUGCAAAAUGUAAUAUUUAAACACCAGAGCAAGAAAUGAUGGUGACAUACACAACUCGCACAAAGCCCAUGAGAACAAAACUCUUAGGACUUUCUCAUUAAGAUACAAAAAAUCCCAAGUCAGACUUCUACACCUGUUUCAUAUUUAGUCACUUCACUGAUCCCAUCCUAGGCUCCAAAAUAAGUGUAACCCAAUUCCCAAGAACCCUGUCUCACUGGUCAACCCUGGAGUGUUGGUCCCUACCUGACCAGUCUAUUUCCUCCUGGAUGGAUCCAGAGGUGGUGCCCAUGAGCCCAUGUACAGAGACACAAACAUUAGUACUACUGCUCUGUCCACUGUGAUUCUCCCUGGGCUCUGUGAACUCAGGGGCCUUUAUGAAGGCACUGCUCACAGUUGUGAGCCUUCAGGUAAGACAGAGGACCUGAAAUAAUCCCUUUCAACUGUUCACCGACACUGGCUCAUAGCAUCUCUUACCUCCAAUCUGAGAACCUGAGAUUCCAGCCUUGAUGCAAAUGCACUGAGUUAGGUGGGUGCAGAGAACAGAACCUGGGCCAGACUCACAGCAGCUGCUUCCCAGGUGAUUCUGGGAGAAUGGAGAUGCUCUCUUAAGAGUAGACUUUUGGCAACUGGGAACUUCUAGCAUGGCUCUUGUGAGGAGGUUAUGAAUUUUUUCAUUUAUUUUAACAUGAAUGGGCACAUAUGCCACUGAGGACCAUACUGGAAUGCACAGGUCUAAACCCAAAGAUGAGGAAGAUGUGACUCUCCCCCCUGGUGAUUCCUGGCAGAGUGGUUUGCUGCUGUGAUCUGAUCAUUCAUGGAUGGGUACUUCAGGGGCACAGGAACAAGCUCCAGGCCCCCUGUGAAGUGCAGGGAUGCCACAACAAAAAUAAAAAAGCCUGGUCCAGCAAAGGAGGACUCGUAAACAGAAAAACAGCCUCUUCUGCAAGGAGAAAAGCUGAACCAAAGUAGCCAGGGUAGAGAUGAGGGGGACACUUCAUUGACUUCAGGAGCCCACCCUAUUCUCCUGUGACCUUGGAUCAGAAUCCACUAAGGUUUCUAAAUUACUAUGAGAAACAACAGAUUGAAGGAGAUGAGCAGGAAGCCUUUUCACACUGGUGCUGGAUCUCAGCAAAGGGUUUGGAAGCAUUGGAACAUUACUGGGGCCCAAGAUGGGCUGCCCAGGGCUAAGCUCUGGGAUGAGAAGGAACGAGGAGGACAUAGUCCUUCCCCUCCGUGACCAGCCAUGGCCAGGAUUCAUCUACACAUAAGUAAAGCAAAACAGAGUUUAGGACUAACAAUUCCAAGACUAUCUCAGAGAAAAGGCAAAGUGAUGUCUUAUACAUCACACAGGAGAGUUGCAAGGACCACCUGGACUCUGGAGCAGCCCCACUCCCUUUGCUGAGUUCACCUUGCACUGAAGCAGGGUCUGUUCUCACCUCCUCUGCAACUAGUGUGGGGCAGGUAUCCUGCCUGAUGAUUAUUUCAUUAAAUACAAUAGAAUAUGCCACUGAUUAUUGUCUGCUUUUGAAAAGGAGCUGAGGAAUGAUUUCACCAUUCUAGACCAAAAGCCUGAGGACUGUGUGUGUUUUACAUUAAUGAUCACACUAAAGCCCACUGUGCAAUGUACCUACUCAAACAAACCCUGGGUUAGCUGACCAUUGAGACCAUCUGAUAACGAUAGUGUUUGGGAUCUGAAUAGCUUUUCAUUCUCCCACAUGCACACAGAAUUGCUGGAAUAACUUGGCCUAGCAAGAAAUUAUACCAGGGCUUUGUGACAAAUUCAGUGUACUAGCUCAUGGCAUUAACCUUCCACUCAUCCCCGAGUUCACAUGUGCCUCUUGCACUUAAAAGACCAAGAGCUUGGGAAAUUCAACUCUGCAGCGUGUCCAUCUGAGGACUGGGUAUAUUAAACUUAUCUUCAGGUACAGCUGUGGUGGACGAUGAAUGGGUUGAUUUAUGCAAACUGUGCAGUGGUGAUGGAAUUUUUCUUGGACAUUGAUCCUCGUGUUGUGCUUUGAACAUGGGAGUAUGUUUUCUGGGGAAAUGCACACACACUCACAAAGACAUCCACAAUCAUUCCAUAUAGACUCUCUCCUCUGUCCCUCCCAACUCUGAUGUACUACCCCACCUUACAUGACACUGCUGCUUCCAGGGAUGACAGUAGCAUGGUUAGAGUACUGGACUCUUAGUUUGUUGGGGUGUUUUUUUUUUUGUUUGUUUUUGUUUUUUUUUUUGAGACGGAGUUUCGCUCGUUGCCCAGGCUGGAGUGCAAUGGCACAACCUUGGCUCACCGCAACCUCUACCACCUGGGUUCAGGUGAUUCUCCUGCCUUGGCCUCCUGAGUAGCUGGGAUUGCAGGCAUGUGACACCACACCCAGGUA
rnacentral:lncRNA from 1 species